CCUACGGGAGGCAGCAGUGGGGAAUAUUGCACAAUGGGCGGAAGCCUGAUGCAGCAACGCCGCGUGCGGGAUGACGGCCUUCGGGUUGUAAACCGCUUUCGCCUGUGACGAAGCGUGAGUGACGGUAAUGGGUAAAGAAGCACCGGCUAACUACGUGCCAGCAGCCGCGGUAAUACGUAGGGGGCAAGCGUUAUCCGGAAUCACUGGGUGUAAAGGGUGCGUAGGCGGUAGGGCAAGUCAGAUGUGAAAGCCCGGGGCUCAACCCCGGGAUUGCAUUUGAAACUGUCUUACUAGAGUGCAGGAGAGGAAAGCGGAAUUCCUAGUGUAGCGGUGAAAUGCGUAGAUAUUAGGAAGAACACCAGUGGCGAAGGCGGCUUUCUGGACUGUAACUGACGCUGAGGCACGAAAGCGUGGGGAGCGAACAGGAUUAGAUACCCCUGUAGUC
rnacentral:rRNA from 1 species